UGAAAGGUGCACGCCCUGAAGCAUCUUGGGAGAGCUUCACUGUUCAAGUGAUGGGAGUUUUCUCAACCUACAGGGAAGCUCAUGAGAAAUUAGACCGGGCACAAUACGAGUCGGACCUCAACUCAGAUGUCAAUGAAGCUGGGAAAAGGAAGCGCCAUGCGCCCAGCCGCUUAGUUGAGGAGGACGACGAGCUUGCAGUUGUAAGGUCCAAAUAUUCCCGUGUGGUGGCUCUCCCUGACACAUCAGACUCUGAGGAAAUCGAAAAUCC